UUUUACAGGUCCCCCUACCCUAUUGGAUUCUACUGGACAAGUGGACGUGACCGGCGUGGGAUGAAGUAUGUGUGAGUGUCCAAGGGUGCCGGAGCGGGAGGCAGCGUCUAAGGCAGCAACACAGCGUGCACCUUAUUGGAGAGCGCUUCUCUGGAGUCGGCCCGCGCUUCCCGUUCUUCCAGCUUUGGCUCUACACUGACUCGGUGGGUACUUAAGACGUUCCUGGCACAGGUGCCGUGGGUUCCCUGCUUCCGCUGACGUCAGCGACCGGAAGCCAGAAGCAUAUGGACAGGUCCCAGGGCUAGCGGCCGGUGACGGGCGGGAGAACGAACGGACGGUUAAUAUAAAUUUGUUAAUUCUGUAUGACACAUGUUAUCCUGAUGAUGGGGUGAGACCC